ensembl:lncRNA
UGCCGCUCUGUCACUGAGAUCCUUCCCCGCUUCCACAGUCAGUGUUCAAUGAGGCUUUGCAGCUCUAACAGCUUAUAUGGCCUCAGAUUCUAGGCUCAUUCCUCGUUCUCUUGGUCUGUGUAUGUUCUAACAUUCUGCAUUACAAGAACAUCACUGAGAAGCUCCAAGAUCCCGUUAACGCCGGAGCCUUCGCUCUGUGGAUCAGCUCCAAUUCAUCCCGUCGAUAGCUCGCUUGUCCAUAUUUGGAUCCCAUGUCGCCUUUCCCCUCGGCCUUUAGCUUAUGAGCUCCUGGGGAGUAACGACUGCCUUCUGCUACUCUUCCUAUUCCUAGGGCUUUGCAGUUGCCAGGCCCUCAGAAGGACUGUCUGCUUCUUGGGGUGCACAUUUUGCUUUCAGAUGGAGGGAGCUACUUCUCCUUGGUGACUCCAGACGGAUAGCUCCAUCCUUCCAGAAUCUGAUGAUGAGUUAGGUAGGAACAGGCAGCAGAGACCCCCGACUCAUUCUGUGAA